GACGAACGCCGGCGGCGUGCUUAACACAUGCAAGUCGAACGGUGAAGCGCCUUCCUUUUUGGUGGGUGUGGAUGAGUGGCGAACGGGUGAGUAACACGUGAGUAACCUGCCCCCUUCUUCUGGAUAACCGCAUGAAAGUGUGGCUAAUACGGGAUAUUCUGGGUCUGUCGCAUGAUGGGUCUGGGAAAGAUAUUGUUUCGGUGGGGGAUGGGCUCGCGGCCUAUCAGCUUGUUGGUGGGGUGAUGGCCUACCAAGGCGGUGACGGGUAGCCGGCCCGAGAGGGUGGACGGUCACACUGGGACUGAGACACGGCCCAGACUCCUACGGGAGGCAGCAGUGGGGAAUAUUGCACAAUGGGCGCAAGCCUGAUGCAGCGACGCCGCGUGAGGGAUGGAGGCCUUCGGGUUGUGAACCUCUUUCGCCAGUGAAGCAGGCCUGCCUCGUUUGUGGGUGGGUUGACGGUAGCUGGAUAAGAAGCGCCGGCUAACUACGUG
rnacentral:rRNA from 1 species